rnacentral:rRNA from 1 species
GAUUAAGUUAUUAAGGGCGCACGGUGGAUGCCUUGGCACUAGAAGCCGAUGAAGGACGUUACUAACGACGAUAUGCUUUGGGGAGCUGUAAGUAAGCUUUGAUCCAGAGAUUUCCGAAUGGGGAAACCCAGCAUGAGUUAUGUCAUGUUAUCGAUAUGUGAAUACAUAGCAUAUCAGAAGGCACACCCGGAGAACUGAAACAUCUUAGUACCCGGAGGAAGAGAAAGAAAAUUCGAUUCCCUUAGUAGCGGCGAGCGAAACGGGAAGAGCCCAAACCAACAAGCUUGCUUGUUGGGGUUGUAGGACACUCUAUACGGAGUUACAAAGGACGACAUUAGACGAAUCAUCUGGAAAGAUGAAUCAAAGAAGGUAAUAAUCCUGUAGUCGAAAAUGUUGUCUCUCUUGAGUGGAUCCUGAGUACGACGGAGCACGUGAAAUUCCGUCGGAAUCUGGGAGGACCAUCUCCUAAGGCUAAAUACUCUCUAGUGACCGAUAGUGAACCAGUACCGUGAGGGAAAGGUGAAAAGCACCCCGGAAGGGGAGUGAAAUAGAACCUGAAACCGUGUGCUUACAAGUAGUCAGAGCCCGUUAAUGGGUGAUGGCGUGCCUUUUGUAGAAUGAACCGGCGAGUUACGAUUUGAUGCAAGGUUAAGCAGUAAAUGUGGAGCCGUAGCGAAAGCGAGUCUGAAUAGGGCGUUUAGUAUUUGGUCGUAGACCCGAAACCAGGUGAUCUACCCUUGGUCAGGUUGAAGUUCAGGUAACACUGAAUGGAGGACCGAACCGACUUACGUUGAAAAGUGAGCGGAUGAACUGAGGGUAGCGGAGAAAUUCCAAUCGAACCUGGAGAUAGCUGGUUCUCUCCGAAAUAGCUUUAGGGCUAGCCUCAAGUGAUGAUUAUUGGAGGUAGAGCACUGUUUGGACGAGGGGCCCCUCUCGGGUUACCGAAUUCAGACAAACUCCGAAUGCCAAUUAAUUUAACUUGGGAGUCAGAACAUGGGUGAUAAGGUCCGUGUUCGAAAGGGAAACAGCCCAGACCACCAGCUAAGGUCCCAAAAUAUAUGUUAAGUGGAAAAGGAUGUGGCGUUGCCCAGACAACUAGGAUGUUGGCUUAGAAGCAGCCAUCAUUUAAAGAGUGCGUAAUAGCUCACUAGUCGAGUGACACUGCGCCGAAAAUGUACCGGGGCUAAACAUAUUACCGAAGCUGUGGAUUGUCCUUUGGACAAUGGUAGGAGAGCGUUCUAAGGGCGUUGAAGCAUGAUCGUAAGGACAUGUGGAGCGCUUAGAAGUGAGAAUGCCGGUGUGAGUAGCGAAAGACGGGUGAGAAUCCCGUCCACCGAUUGACUAAGGUUUCCAGAGGAAGGCUCGUCCGCUCUGGGUUAGUCGGGUCCUAAGCUGAGGCCGACAGGCGUAGGCGAUGGAUAACAGGUUGAUAUUCCUGUACCACCUAUAAUCGUUUUAAUCGAUGGGGGGACGCAGUAGGAUAGGCGAAGCGUGCGAUUGGAUUGCACGUCUAAGCAGUAAGGCUGAGUAUUAGGCAAAUCCGGUACUCGUUAAGGCUGAGCUGUGAUGGGGAGAAGACAUUGUGUCUUCGAGUCGUUGAUUUCACACUGCCGAGAAAAGCCUCUAGAUAGAAAAUAGGUGCCCGUACCGCAAACCGACACAGGUAGUCAAGAUGAGAAUUCUAAGGUGAGCGAGCGAACUCUCGUUAAGGAACUCGGCAAAAUGACCCCGUAACUUCGGGAGAAGGGGUGCUCUUUAGGGUUAACGCCCAGAAGAGCCGCAGUGAAUAGGCCCAAGCGACUGUUUAUCAAAAACACAGGUCUCUGCUAAACCGUAAGGUGAUGUAUAGGGGCUGACGCCUGCCCGGUGCUGGAAGGUUAAGAGGAGUGGUUAGCUUCUGCGAAGCUACGAAUCGAAGCCCCAGUAAACGGCGGCCGUAACUAUAACGGUCCUAAGGUAGCGAAAUUCCUUGUCGGGUAAGUUCCGACCCGCACGAAAGGCGUAACGAUUUGGGCACUGUCUCAACGAGAGACUCGGUGAAAUCAUAGUACCUGUGAAGAUGCAGGUUACCCGCGACAGGACGGAAAGACCCCGUGGAGCUUUACUGUAGCCUGAUAUUGAAAUUCGGCACAGCUUGUACAGGAUAGGUAGGAGCCUUUGAAACGUGAGCGCUAGCUUACGUGGAGG